AUUGAACGCUGGCGGCAUGCCUUACACAUGCAAGUCGAACGGUAACAGGUUAAGCUGACGAGUGGCGAACGGGUGAGUAAUAUAUCGGAACGUGCCCAGUUGUGGGGGAUAACUACUCGAAAGAGUGGCUAAUACCGCAUGAGACCUGAGGGUGAAAGCGGGGGAUCGCAAGACCUCGCGCAGUUGGAGCGGCCGAUAUCAGAUUAGCUAGUUGGCGGGGUAAAAGCCCACCAAGGCGACGAUCUGUAGCUGGUCUGAGAGGACGACCAGCCACACUGGGACUGAGACACGGCCCAGACUCCUACGGGAGGCAGCAGUGGGGAAUUUUGGACAAUGGACGCAAGUCUGAUCCAGCCAUGCCGCGUGUGGGAAGAAGGCCUUCGGGUUGUAACCACUUUUGUCAGGGAAGAAACGGUCUGGGUUAAUACCUUGGGCUAAUGACGGUACCUGAAGAAUAAGCACCGGCUAACUACGUGCCAGCAGCCGCGGUAAGCUGUAGU
rnacentral:rRNA from 1 species